rnacentral:lncRNA from 1 species
GAGGGUCUCUGAGACAGGUUGGGAGCCAGCCCCACCUCCAUUUCCAAAGCGGGGGUCCAGGCACAGGAACAGCCAAACGCCCGAACCAGCGGGGUUACCUUUGCCACUUCAUCCAAUCCGAGCAUCGGCUGGAAACUGGGAAGUUUGUCAGACAAAGCUCUUCAGGUUACUGGCAAUUUAUGUGCUGGGAGGUGGAUUUGUGGGCAGAGCUCCGGCUGACCUGGUGUUGUCCUGCUAUGGCUACAGACUUCUGACUAUGCUUAUCAGAAAAACUUUCAUUUGGUUCAAGGAUUUUUGCUGACAAGUUUAUUUAAUCCCUGAACCUGGAUCCAAGGCAUCUCCCUGUAGAAAACAUCAGACCGGGGCAGAGAUUGACAAAGCAACCCAAAGCAGCAGCUGCCAACGGCCGCUGUGCCCACCUCAUCAGCAGCUAAAGAGUAUAAUUUUAAAAAAAGUCACAGAAGAAUGUGGAGACACUUAGCAAAACGGACUCUCAUAAGGAGGCUGAUGGACUACAUCCAUGGGGUACUUUGUCCUCUGGCUUCCAAUUAGAUUCAGACAACAGGAAGCAUCAACAGCUAAUGGGAGACGAAGAGGAAAAAUUGGGGUACCUAUUCCCCUAGAUUACUCCCUGCUGAUUGCUGCAGAGGGGCUUCAUCCUUGCCCUGGUUUCUGGAAAACACUCUUUCAUUGCCCAUGCAGGCCUAGGAGUGAUGAUGCCUCACUGGAUGGCAAAGUCUCUUAUUGGUUUCCCUAAAUCUUACUCACAACUUGUAGAUACUCCCUCUAUUAAAUCCUUUUCAGUUACCC